UACGAAGGGGGGCUAGCGUUGCUCGGAAUGACUGGGCGUAAAGGGCGCGUAGGCGGCUCAUACAGUCAGGCGUGAAAUUCCUGGGCUCAACCUGGGGACUGCGCUUGAGACGUGUGGGCUUGAGUGGGGAAGAGGGUCGUGGAAUUCCCAGUGUAGAGGUGAAAUUCGUAGAUAUUGGGAAGAACACCGGUGGCGAAGGCGGCGACCUGGUCCUUGACUGACGCUGAGGCGCGAAAGCGUGGGGGAGCAAACAGG
rnacentral:rRNA from 1 species